AUGGGCUGCAGGCUGCUCUGCUGUGCGGCUCUCUGCCUCCUGGGAGCAGCCUCUAUGGAUACUGGAAUGACUCAGACACCAAAAUACCUAGUUAUGGGAAUGAGAAAUAACAAGUCUUUGGAAUGUGAACAACAUAUGGGACAUAAUGCCAUGUACUGGUAUAAACAAAGUGCUCAGAAGCCACCGGAGCUCAUGUUUGUCUACAACUAUGUGAAACUCAUUGAAAACAAUACUGUCCCAAGCCGCUUCUGGCCUGAAUGCCCAGACAGCUCCCGCUUAAAACUUCACUUGGACGCCCUGGAACCAGAAGACUCUGCCACGUAUCUCUGUGCCAGCAGCAAAGACACAGCCCUGCAGUGGCCCCUUCUCCCUGUGCACAAACCCCCUGGGUCCCACCAGGAAGCUGCUGGAGCAACCCAGGCUCAGAUCAACACUUCCUGUAGGACCCCAGAAAGAAAUCACAGGCCAGAACACUGCCUGGCAAUUUAG